rnacentral:rRNA from 1 species
UAGAGGCCUACCAUGGUGGUAACGGGUGACGGAGGAUUAGGGUUCGAUUCCGGAGAGGGAGCCUGAGAAACGGCUACCACAUCCAAGGAAGGCAGCAGGCGCGCAAAUUACCCACUCCCGGCACGGGGAGGUAGUGACGAAAAAUAACGAUGCGAGAGCUUUUAGCUUCUCGUAAUCGGAAUGGGUACACUUUAAAUCCUUUAACGAGGAUCUAUUGGAGGGCAAGUCUGGUGCCAGCAGCCGCGGUAAUUCCAGCUCCAAUAGCGUAUAUUAAAGUUGUUGCAGUUAAAAAGCUCGUAGUUGAAUUUCGGGGUUAGUAGGUUGGUCAUGCCUCUGGUAUGUACUGGUCUCACUGAUUCCUCCUUCCUUAUGAACCGUAAUGCCAUUAAUUUGGUGUUGCGGGGAAUUUGGACUGUUACUUUGAAAAAAUUAGAGUGUUUAAAGCAAGCUAACGCUUGAAUACAUUAGCAUGGAAUAAUGAAAUAGGACGUUCGAUCUUAUUUUGUUGGUUUCUAGGAUUGACGUAAUGAUUAAUAGGGAUAGUUGGGGGCAUUAGUAUUCAAUUGUCAGAGGUGAAAUUCUUGGAUUUAUUGAAGACUAACUACUGCGAAAGCAUUUGCCAAGGAUGUUUUCAUUAAUCAAGAACGAAAGUUAGGGGAUCGAAGACGAUCAGAUACCGUCGUAGUCUUAACCAUAAACUAUGCCGACUAGGGAUCGGAUGAUGUAA